CAAGAAACUAAGAGUUUAUGGGGGAUACCUUGGCAUUCAGAAGCGAAGAAGGACGUGGUUACCAGCGAAAUGCUUCGGGGAGCUGGUUGCGCUAUGAUCCGGAGGACUCCUAAUGAGGAAACUUUAAUUAAUAACUACUUAUUGAAUACAUAGAUAAGAAAGAGCGAACCUAGGGAACUGAAACAUCUUAGUACCUAGAGGAAAAGAAAGUAAAAACGAUUCCCUUAGUAGCGGCGAGCGAAAUGGGAACAGCCUAAACUUAAUUUUUAAUUAAGGGUAGUGGGACAGUCAUUAAUGAUUAAAUGUGACGGUUAGAGGAAUAAGUUGGAAUACUUAGCCAUAGAGAGUGAUAGUCUCGUACCUCGAAAACUGAAACAAUCAGAUUGUAUCCCAAGUAGCAUGGGGCACGUGAAAUCCCGUGUGAAUCCGCGAGGACCACCUCGUAAGGCUAAAUAUUCCUGAAUGACCGAUAGUGAAAAGUACCGUGAGGGAAAGGUGAAAAGAACCCCGGGAGGGGAGUGAAAAGAACAUGAAACCAUAAACUUACAAGCAGUAGGAGGACGACUGAAACGUCUGACUGCGUGCCUGUUGAAGAAUGAGCCGGCGACUUAUAGUUAGUGGCAGGUUAAGGCAGUGAAUGCCGGAGCCAUAGUGAAAGCGAGCUUGAAUAGAGCGUUUGUCACUAGUUAUAGACCCGAACCCGGAUGAUCUAACCAUGGCCAGGUUGAAGCUUAGGUAAUACUAAGUGGAGGACCGAACCGACUGAUGUUGAAAAAUCAGCGGAUGAGUUGUGGUUAGGGGUGAAAUGCCAAUCGAAUUCGGAGCUAGCUGGUUCUCCCCGAAAUGCGUUUUGGCGCAGCGGUAAGUGUUAUAAUUUAGGGGUAAAGCACUGUUACGUAUGCGGGCUGGUAAUUCGGUACCAAAUCGUUGCAAACUAAGAAUACUAAAUGAAUAAUUUACCAGUAAGACUGUGGGGGAUAAGCUCCAUUGUCAAGAGGGAAACAGCCCAGAGCACCAGUUAAGGCCCCCAAAUAAUUACUAAGUGAUAAAGGAGGUGGGAGUGCAUAAACAAUCAGGAGGUUUGCUUAGAAGCAGCAAUCCUUUAAAGAGUGCGUAAUAGCUCACUGAUCGAGUAAACCUGCGCCGAAAAUGUAAGGGACUAAGUAAUUUGCCGAAACUGUGCGAUAUAUAAGAUUUAUAUAUCGGUAGGGGAGCGUUCUGUUGUAGGUUGAAGUAUUAGCGGAAGCGGAUAUGGACGAAGCAGAAGUGAGAAUGUCGGCUUGAGUAACGAAAAUAUAGGUGAGAAUCCUAUACCCCGAAAACCCAAGGUUUCCUUCGGAAGGCUCGUCCGCGAAGGGUAAGUCAGGACCUAAGGCGAGGCUGAAAAGCGUAGUCGAUGGACAAAGGGUUAAUAUUCC
rnacentral:rRNA from 14 species